rnacentral:lncRNA from 12 species
UGAAAAUACUGUUCUUUUUUCUUUUUUUUUAUUAUAUUGCAUGAAUCUUAACAAAAUGCUCUACCUGGAAAUCCUGACUGCUAUCUGAGGCUGAGAGGAAUGACUUUUCAUGCCCUUGCUUGAUGAACAGAGCAAAUUGUGUUCAUCCAAACAGGAUUUCUUAUUUUGAGCUGGUGUUUGUAAUAAACCACCUUGUCUGCAUGCCAAGA